UACGUAGGGUGCGAGCGUUGUCCGGAAUUAUUGGGCGUAAAGAGCUUGUAGGCGGUUUGUCGCGUCUGCUGUGAAAGCCCGGGGCUUAACCUCGGGCGUGCAGGCGAUACGGGCAAUACUUGAGUGCUGUAGGGGAGACUGGAAUUCCUGGUGUAGCGGUGAAAUGCGCAGAUAUCAGGAGGAACACCAAUGGCGAAGGCAGGUCUCUGGGCAGUUACUGACACUGAGAAGCGAAAGCAUGGGUAGCGAACAGGAUUA
rnacentral:rRNA from 1 species